UUUGCCGUGCAGUGAUAAUUUCGUUGAAAUCACAUGAUAUAUUCUUCCAGCGAAUACCACUAUUAUGUGAAUGUAUGCUUUAGAGAUAUCUUAUGAGAAAUACUGUAUUUAACCUGAGUAGAUUCAACUGAUUUUCAAGAAUCUAAAUAGGAUAUGCACGAUAUCGAAACGACAAUUCUAGACCCAAUAUCAACCACAACCGGUCGCCAGAGCAACCGAUCGAGUCAGAGUUCAAGUGUCACCAUCCAUGCUUGUUUGAUGGUUAUUGUCGAACUAAAGCUAGCCUGUGUUGACGUGAAUUAUAUGACUUGAACGUGUUAUGUUGCCCCAGACAUCUCAGAGGAUAUGACAUCUUCCGCCAUUCCUUUGCCGCUUGCCGGUAUUUCCUGUGUCAAGAAGAUUCGGAUUAUCACUUGUGGGGUGGAGACGCGCGUGCUCGUAUAUGGAAAGCGUGUAUGAAUUGUUUAUCUACCACGGCCUAUCUCCACAAUCUAUUGGCCGAUUAGGUGGAACUUGAGCUGAGAUCGCUACUCCGCAGCAAAAAUAAUAGAAAUCAAAACUAGCUAAGCCCACUUUCCGGAGCAACUAUCCAUAAUCAUUCCCGACGUCGAGGCAUAUCCAGAAUGAAUCGCAGCAUCUACAGUGACGUUUCUGUGCCGUAGCAGAUCAUAGACUUGGUUCGAUAAAGAGACCCAGAAACGGAGCUUGUCGAAGAAGGGAUAUUUGAAGUUUCUUUUCAAAUGUCUAAAAUCAAGUGGUCUAGUAAUUGGUGCGACUCGUCCAAGCGCCUCGAAUUCCGGCCAUGUACAGUCCUUGUCAAAAUCCGCUAAGUAUAGAAAACUUUUGUUUGAUCUGCUAUCCGUCGAAGAAGUAAACAGAUCGCUUAAGGACGGAUACUAUUCGUUUUAGAAGACCACUGAUUGAUUGUCUACCUUGUUGACAAAACGGAGCAGUCACGGUGACGUCAAGGCGUGACGCUCAAGGCCUCGCUACAGACCGUAGACUUGAAAGCCGGAAAGCUAGUCUGAAGGCAGGGAGAAACCAUUAACCAUUGAUAAGUACGUUAAGCGCUACGAUUAAGUGUCCACAGACAAAUCGCCGACGCCAUAUGAGAGCCGUUCAUACGAAUGAGACGCGCACCUAAAUGAGAAGAUGCGAAAGCGAUGUUUCCUGCCCUCGCAUGGAAUAGCUCUCCCUUCGCGAAUAGAUCUUCGCGAACAGCUUAUUUAGCCAUUAUAAUCGCCCAGUCAGCUCCGUAGUCGGUAACCGUGUCGGCCUGUGUACCCACAAUCAAUAGGCGUUUUGUGUGGUAGUCGUUUGGAGAAGACGAACACUGACUAAUUACAAGAUUCUAAAAUGAAACCUGUUGUGAAUGAAUGAAGUCAGUUAUCACCCGAUAAGUAACUACCUGCUCGCAAAGGUUAUGCGGCGAAGGCAAGAUUAUGCCUACCUAUAUCUAUGUGUGUCUUUGUUUUUCGGGGAAUCUGUUCCAAGCGCUAAGCCGUACUGCUUAGUUUUGAACGCGAGUUAAGAGAGCGAUAACGGAGCAAGGCUGAGGUACGCACAGAACGAACUCGAGGUAGGGACCGCGCCACUGCUGCACUUAUCACAAUAGCCACUGACGUUAAUUACCGAUUUACUUCACACCUCGUCACCUCGUGCCGUUUGCAAUGGUUAGAAAGAUAAAGACGCUUCGAGGCAGACAGAGACGGCCGAGUAGCGUAGAGCUGUUAUCUGCAAUGAAAACUUGAUGAACAACAUUUACGUAUUCACUGAGAAACGAAUGACAGCUAAAAAGCAACAUGAAUUAGGGUGAAGUGCUGUGGGUACCGGUAUAGGUAAUAGAUAGAGCAGCGCGAACUUGAAGCGGAGAAUUUGUUUGAACCUGUUUGAGUUGUCAUUUACUAAUGAGCUCGAGUAAGUGGAGCUGAUGAAAGUUACUGGCUGAUGGACGAUGUCGAGCAUUAAACGAGACUGGACAAUCGCUCACUAGAUUCGCUAAGGACCCUACAGCCCUGAUCGAUCUACCUUCGCAUUCAAAAUGACUGGUUUCUACUAUACAACGGAAGUCUUAUGGAGAUUUAUAAUAUUUGUUGUAGAUGUCUGCUACAUGCUAAUUAUGUGGUGCUACAGAUGCUUAGAAUGAAUAAAAUUGUGUUGA